AGCGAACGCUGGCGGCAGGCCUAACACAUGCAAGUCGAACGAACUCUUCGGAGUUAGUGGCGGACGGGUGAGUAACACGUGGGAACGUGCCUUUUGGUUCGGAAUAACUCAGGGAAACUUGUGCUAAUACCGAAUGUGCCCUUCGGGGGAAAGAUUUAUCACCAUUAGAGCGGCCCGCGUCUGAUUAGCUAGUUGGUGAGGUAACGGCUCACCAAGGCGACGAUCAGUAGCUGGUCUGAGAGGAUGACCAGCCACACUGGGACUGAGACACGGCCCAGACUCCUACGGGAGGCAGCAGUGGGGAAUCUUGCGCAAUGGGCGAAAGCCUGACGCAGCCAUGCCGCGUGAAUGAUGAAGGUCUUAGGAUUGUAAAAUUCUUUCACCGGGGACGAUAAUGACGGUACCCGGAGAAGAAGCCCCGGCUAACUUCG
rnacentral:rRNA from 1 species